CGCCCGGCCGGAUCCCGUGGGGGGAAUCCGCACCGGGACAAAGGAAGGCGCCCCGACUGUCAGC
rnacentral:ncRNA from 1 species